UAUACUUCCUAUUUGGGAAGGAUGAGAAGCUUCGACCAAGGUUCGAUUCGAGCGUUAGCGAGAAAGCGUUGCCGCAGGCAACGACCCGAAGGGCGAAGCGCGCAGCGCUAAGUAAUCCUUCCCCCACCACCA
rnacentral:sRNA from 1 species